AGUCAUGUGAGGUGGCUUUUUGCGGGCUCUCUGCCCGCCGCGUCUCUCCGUGUGCUGCUUUGGAGACAGGGGAGAUGCUGCCGAGCUCCCAGAGAGGUGGGGUGCGGGGAGCCCUGCCUCGUCCUCUGCUUUGUAGCCGGGUGNNNNNNNNNNNNNNNNNNNNNNNNNNNNNNNNNNNGGGAGGGGAGAGGGCGGAGCGGCUGGCCUCGUCGGCGCGCUGGAAAAGCGGGAGGUGGGAGCCCUGCACACCUCCGAGGCAGGUUUUCUGACAACCCUUGCACGGGGUAAUGGCGUCAGACGCCACGUAGGCCCGCAAAGCUAAAUAUGCCUGUGCACCCUUCCAGGGCCAGCAAACCGCCGCCAUAACAACAGUAAGGAAAAAGGAUCUCAGCCUGAAUUUGGCUAUACCGCGAGAAAGAAAAGUUCUGAGGAGCUGUUGUUAUUAUAUAUUCUAAUGAGAAGUCAUUGGAGAAAUUAAAAAGGGCAGAGAAAGACGAAGACGCCAGCACUAAUUCCACAGGAAGCCUCCCAGGGAAAAGGCUGUGUGAGUUUGAACGCUGAAAAGCAUGAAGGCCUGGAAUUAGACUAUCAUUUAGAAAGCGUUACUAAUCCGAAGUUACAGCAGUAAUUCCAUGAUUUGCUGGGUCCCACACGCAGCGCCAGAAUUAAAGAUACGGAUUUUCUAGAAAUGUAACUCAACUGUGGCACCGACUCUCGGCAAGAUCCGAAUGAAUCAUUCAUUCCAAACACUGCAAAAGACAUGUCAUUAAGAACCAACCUUAUUCUCUCCAGCCCAUCUGGAAUAUGUAUUCUUGAUGCAGUCCCAGAAAUUGUGGAAGAGAUCGGAGACAUGACUGCGCGUUUGUGGAGCAGGAUGCCUUGGGAAGGGCAGGGAAGUCUCCACCUGAGCAAGGAGAGAUCCCAGUGAGAGGAGAAGGGACCUUUCAAGCUUUUGAGUUCUUGUCACUGUUGGUUAUCACCUGCCUGGACUUGCUGCCUGACAUCUCCAGACUUCUCCAAGAAGGUCCAGUCUGCGUCUCCGAUGGCCCCAGAGAAGAGGUGGCUUUUGCUCAUGAAUACAGAGGGUUUCUGCGUUGCUUCCCAUCCCAUCGGUCCACCCUUGGGGAGGCAGCCAGCAAAAUCCAGGGAGCCAGGGGAAAAUCCUAUGUAACUCCUGUAUGUUGUGGCUGUCUUUGGUGCCCUAAAUACUCCUGGGCAGGAGUGUCCUCUGCUUGGGCAGAGAGAUCUAAGCAAGCCACUGUCUCAACUAGCAAAAUACUGUGUGCUUGAAGGUUAGAGAGAGCAGGCAGGAAAUCUGAGCUGGUGGAGUGUUGUUUUGUAGCACCGGGGAACAUGCAGGUUGGGCUUUGAUCACGGAGUGCAGCCAUCCUGGUGGGGCUGUGUGUAUAAAGCCUGCCGGACUGCACAUCUCUCCAGGCUGGACAUCCCUGCUGCUCUUUUUGCACUUGUCUCUGUUCCUGUAAGAGAAAUGUACUGGCUGUAAUUCCUUUCCAUUAAAAUCACCCCCCACCCAAUGCACUGUUGAAAAUAAAUACUCUUUUACAAAAAUGAGCCGUGUGAUU
ensembl:lncRNA